rnacentral:rRNA from 1 species
CCUACGGGAGGCUGCAGUGGGGAAUAUUGGUCAAUGGAGGAAACUCUGAACCAGCAACGCCGCGUGAAUGAUGAAGGUCUUCGGAUUGUAAAGUUCUUUUCUAAGGGAAGAAGAAAGCGAUGGUACCUUAGGAAUAAGCCUCGGCUAACUACGUGCCAGCAGCCGCGGUAAUACGUAGGAGGCGAGCGUUAUCCGGAAUGACUGGGCGUAAAGGGUGCGUAGGUGGUUUGACAAGUUGGUAGCGUAACUCCGAGGCUCAACCUCAGCACUACUAGCAAAACUGUCGGACUUGAGUGCAGGAGAGGAAAUUGGAAUUCCUAGUGUAGCGGUGGAAUGCGCAGAUAUUAGGAGGAACACCGGUGGCGAAGGCGAAUUGCUGGACUGUAACUGACGCUGAGGCACGAAAGCGUGGGGAGCAAACAGGAUUAGAUACCCGGGUAGUC